AGGAGUGUAACUCAAUAGUAGAGUGUUUGCCUAGCAUGUGUGAAGUCCUGGGUUCAAGUCCCAGUACUGCAG
rnacentral:tRNA from 1 species